UACGGAGGGGGCUAGCGUCGUUCGGAAUCACUGGGCGUAAAGCGCACGUAGGCGGCUUUGCAAGUCAGGGGUGAAAGCCCGGGGCUCAACCUCGGAAUUGCCCUUGAAACUGCAAGGCUUGAACACGGGAGAGGUAAGUGGAAUUCCGAGUGUAGAGGUGAAAUUCGUAGAUAUUCGGAAGAACACCAGUGGCGAAGGCGGCUUACUGGACCGUUGUUGACGCUGAGGCACGAAAGCGUGGGGAGCAAACAGG
rnacentral:rRNA from 1 species